AAUCAACGCUGGCGGCGUGCCUCAGACAUGCAAGUCGAACGAUUAAGACUCUCUUCGGAGAGUGUAUAAAGUGGCGCACGGGUGAGUAACACGUAGGUAAUGUACCGAAGGGUGGGGAAUAACUUAGGGAAACUUAAGCUAAUACCGCAUAAUGCAGCGGCCCGACAUCGAGACAGUUGUUAAAGGAGCAAUCCGCCUUUUGAGCAGCCUGCGGCAGAUUAGCUAGUUGGUUAGGUAAUGGCUUACCAAGGCUACGAUCUGUAACCGACCUGAGAGGGUGGUCGGUCACACUGACACUGAAUAACGGGUCAGACUCCUACGGGAGGCAGCAGUCGGGAAUUUUGGGCAAUGGGCGAAAGCCUGACCCAGCAACGCCGCGUGAAGGAUGAAGUAUUUCGGUAUGUAAACUUCGUAAGAAUAGGAAGAAUAAAUGACGGUACUAUUUGUAAGGUCCGGCUAACUACGUGCCAGCAGCCGCGGUAAUACGUAGGGACCAAGCGUUGUUCGGAUUUACUGGGCGUAAAGGGCGCGUAGGCGGUGUGUCAAGUCAGUUGUGAAAUCUCCGAGCUUAACUCGGAACGGUCAACUGAUACUGUCACACUAGAGUACAGAAGGGGCAAUCGGAAUUCUUGGUGUAGCGGUGAAAUGCGUAGAUAUCAAGAGGAACACCUGAGGUGAAGACGGGUUGCUGGGCUGAUACUGACGCUGAGGCGCGAAAGCUAGGGUAGCAAGCGGGAUUAGAUACCCCGGUAG
rnacentral:rRNA from 1 species